GCAAGAUGCUCUCUACCUCUUGAAAGACAUGGGUAGUGAGAUGUCCCGUACAUCUAAAAUUCUCACUACCUUGUCUUUCAUGCGGAUUGGGCAAAUAUCUUCACUCGGCUUCGGAAGAU